rnacentral:ribozyme from 14 species
UCCUUUUCUUUCUCUCCUUUUUUUUCUUUCCUUUUUUUUUUUCCUUUGUCGAAGCAAAACCAGAAAGAUGAAGAGAGAGAAAGAGGAGAAA